UACGUAGGGUGCGAGCGUUGUCCGGAAUUAUUGGGCGUAAAGAGCUUGUAGGCGGUUUGUCGCGUCUGCCGUGAAAUUUCGAGGCUCAACCUCGAACUUGCGGUGGGUACGGGCAGACUAGAGUGUGGUAGGGGAGACUGGAAGUUCCUGGUGUAGCGGUGGAAUGCGCAGAUAUCGGGAGGAACACCGGUGGCGAAGGCGGCGAUCUGGGUCGAUACUGACGCUGAGGUGCGAAAGCGUGGGGAGCAAACAGGGAUUAGAAACCCUGAGGUAGUCCAGUCAACCAAACGUCUCUGCGUAACCC
rnacentral:rRNA from 1 species